rnacentral:rRNA from 1 species
GAUGAACGCUGGCGGCGUGCCUAAUACAUGCAAGUCGAGCGAACGGACGAGAAGCUUGCUUUUCUGAUGUUAGCGGCGGACGGGUGAGUAACACGUGGAUAACCUACCUAUAAGACUGGGAUAACUUCGGGAAACCGGAGCUAAUACCGGAUAAUAUUUUGAACCGCAUGGUUCAAAAGUGAAAGACGGUCUUGCUGUCACUUAUAGAUGGAUCCGCGCUGCAUUAGCUAGUUGGUAAGGUAACGGCUUACCAAGGCAACGAUGCAUAGCCGACCUGAGAGGGUGAUCGGCCACACUGGAACUGAGACACGGUCCAGACUCUUACGGGAGGCAGCAGUAGGGAAUCUUCCGCAAAGGGCGAAAGCCUGACGGAGCAACGCCGCGUGAGUGAUGAAGGUCUUCGGAUCGUAAAACUCUGUUAUUAGGGAAGAACAUAUGUGUAAGUAACUGUGCACAUCUUGACGGUACCUAAUCAGAAAGCCACGGCUAACUACGUG